rnacentral:rRNA from 1 species
CCUACGGGAGGCUGCAGUGAGGAAUAUUGGUCAAUGGCCGGAAGGCUGAACCAGCCAAGCCGCGUGAAGGACGAAGGUGCAAAGCAUUGUAAACUUCUUUUGUCAAGGGACAAAAUCAGGCUCGAGAGCCUGACCGAGGGUACCUGAAGAAAAAGCAUCGGCUAACUCCGUGCCAGCAGCCGCGGUAAUACGGAGGAUGCGAGCGUUAUCCGGAUUUAUUGGGUUUAAAGGGUGCGUAGGCGGAAUUUUAAGUCAGCGGUAAAAGCUCGGGGCUCAACCCCGACGGGCCGUUGAAACUGGGUGUCUUGAGAUGUGAAGAGGUAUGCGGAAUGCGCGGUGUAGCGGUGAAAUGCUUAGAUAUUGCGCAGAACUCCGAUUGCGAAGGCAGCAUACCGG